rnacentral:rRNA from 1 species
UACGUAGGGCGCAAGCGUUGUCCGGAAUUAUUGGGCGUAAAGGGCUCGUAGGCGGCUUGUCGCGUCGGGAGUGAAAACCUUGGGCUUAACUCAGGGCUUGCAUUCGAUACGGGCAGACUAGAGUUCGGUAGGGGGAGACUGGAAUUCCUGGUGUAGCGGUGAAAAUGCGCAGAUAUCAGGAGGAACACCGGUGGCGAAGGCGGGUCUCUGGGCCGAAACUGACGCUGAGGAGCGAAAGCGUGGGGAGCAAACAGG